CCCCAUUCUUGUUGGCACUUCUUUGAGGGAGAUGAUGGAAUUUGAAGAGUUUGAAGCUUUUAUUAACUCUCCCUCUGUAAUCCUCAUAUUUCUUUUAUCUGAUGCAGCACUCAUUUAUGUAUGAAAAACUUACAGUUAUCCAGAAGAUAUUACUUUCUGACACCACAUUCCUGGAAAGAAGUGAUCAACGUGUUUAAGUAGGAUAGAAAAUUCCCACUAUAUACAUUCCUGCUAAGGGAGAUGGAAUUGUGAUUCCCACAACUAAGUGUCUGUGGCAGAGACAGAUUGCUGACUCAUGUCAACCUGCUUGAGCAGAACUGCAGAGACCAAGAUGACUGUUCCUCUUGAAGCUGCAGGUUCUUGUGGGCCCUGCACCCUCUGUGAACCUGCUGGUGAUGUUAUCUCCUCUGUCACAAGAACUGCUGUCCAUUCAUCAACUGCACCAGCAUCUGUAGCAUCAAGAUCUGUUAUUAUGCAGAAAACCAGUUUGUGGCCUAUAGGUCUGAGCAGCUCAGGGUAG
rnacentral:lncRNA from 1 species